CUUUGAAGAUCCGUUCUGAGCUCUCGAGUCCUCCGUGACUGGGUGUGGCUCUCAUGUCCUUCACCUUGCCCUGCUGAUUUUCUCUGACUCCUGACCCAGAUAAACACACUCGAACCUGACACCUCAGGGUCACCCCGAGAGAAACCGCAGCAUGGGCAAAGCCUGCACUACCUCCUGGACUGACGUGGCUGAGAACCGAGUAAUGGCUGAGAACCUCGUAAGGCGUCUCUUUUCGACAGACAGCUUCCAGGUUGCCCUGCGGCAGCCCAGACUGGAUCUCACAGACCGAACUGCAAGGACGGCUCAAUUUGAGAGGUUGGCAGUGCUGCUGCAUUUGGAGGUCACCUCAGAAGCCCUGGGCAAAUGCUUGCAACCCCGGAAACCCUCAUCUCUCUUCCCGCUGAGUCUUGUCGCCCGGAAGCCCCUUCUCGCCUGGCCUCUGACCUAAGCAGUACCCUUCAUCAGAC
rnacentral:lncRNA from 1 species